GCUGCAGUGGCUCAAUGGUAAGCAUCCCUGACUCGCAAUCGAAAGAGCGCGGGUUCGAAUCCCACUAGUUAGUUCGGUUGUAGUU